GGCCUGAUGGUCUAGUAGUAUGAUUCCUUGUUAGGGCGCUUCGGUCCAAUUCGAGGAGGUCCCGGGUUCAAUUCCCGGUCAGGCCC